UAAAAGAUAAGCUAAGAAAGCUAAUGGACUCAUAUUUCAUUUAUGAUUAAUUCUCUUUUAG
rnacentral:tRNA from 1 species